rnacentral:rRNA from 1 species
GCAAAACGCGAAGAACCUUACCAACCCUUGACAUGGAGGGGACCGUUCCAGAGAUGGUUCUUUCACUUCGGUGACCCCUCACACAGGUGCUGCAUGGCUGUCGUCAGCUCGUGUCGUGAGAUGUUCGGUUAAGUCCGGCAACGAGCGCAACCCACACUUUCAGUUGCCAGCAUUCAGUUGGGCACUCUGAAAGAACUGCCGGUGAUAAGCCGGAGGAAGGUGUGGAUGACGUCAAGUCCUCAUGGCCCUUACGGGUUGGGCUACACACGUGCUACAAUGGCAGUGACAAUGGGCUAAUCCCAAAAAGCUGUCUCAGUUCGGAUUGGGGUCUGCAACUCGACCCAUGAAGUCGGAAUCGCUAGUAAUCGCGUAACAGCAUGACGCGGUGAAUACGUUCCCGGGUCUUGUACACACCG